CCCUCACUCUUACCCAGGCUAGAGUACAGUGGUGCCAUUUUGGCUCACUGCAAACUCCACCUCCUAGGUUCAAGCGAUUCUCCUGCCUCAGCCUAAUGAGUAGCUGGGAUUACAGGUGUGCACUGCUAUCCCCGGAUAAUUUUUGUAUAUUUACUAGAGACAGGGUUUCGCCAUGUGGGCCAGGCUGCUCUCGAACUCCUGGCCUCAAGUGAUCCACCUGCCUUGGCCUUCCAAAGUGCUGGGAUUACAGGUGUGAGUUACCGCACCUGGCCAGAAAUAUUUUUUAUGAUAGAUUUUUCCCAGAUUAAUUCCUCAUUAAUUUUUCAGUGACCAUAACUUCAUUUUUUUUCUGAUUGUAAAAAUGAUUGCAUACUGACGCUUUUUUUUUUUUGAUGGAGUCUCUCGCUCUGUCACCUAGGCUGGAGUGAAUUGGCACGAUCUAGGCUUACGGCAACCUCCGCCUCCAGGGUUCAAGCGAUUCUCCUGCCUCAGCCUCCUGAGUAGCUGGGACUACAGGCGUGUGCCACCCCGCCCAGCUAAUUUUUAUAUUUUUAGUAGAGGUGGAGUUUCACCAUGCUAGCCAGGCUGGUCUUGAACUCCUGACUUCAGGUGAUCUGCCCGCCUUGGCCUCCCAAAGUGUUGAGACUACAGGCAUGAGCCACCGCGCCUGGCCACUGAUGCUUAUUUUUUAAGGCGGUAAUAGUACAUGAGGAAGUGAAAAUAUGAGGAAGUACAAAUCUCAUGUUCAUUCCCUGCCUCUGUUACUGACAUGCUGUCCAUUUUCUAAUUCUAAUCCCUGCCUGCCUCUCCGCCCUCACGUUUUGGGGGAUGGACACAGUUGCAGGGGAAAUGGAAGACAUUACUGAUCGUGGACAUCGAGGGUGGAGAGAGAAACUUGGGCAUCAAACUAGCCCUGAGAACUGUACCAAUGAGGUUGAAAACAUUUGUAAACCAUUGCCUAGUAAAAGCAGUCACUGAGAUCAGCGUUUUGGAUGAUUAAUAUCUCUUAAAAACAUUUUAUAAUUCCCUCAACAAAGCUCUUGCAAACUGUGGUAGAGGCUGUUAGUGCUCUCCAAUAUCCAUGUUUUCUGCCCACUCCUUGGAAUCCAGCUAGAUUGGUCAAUAGUGGCCUAGCUAUAGUGGUCAACGUCCCCUAUGAUUGGGUGCAACCAUGAGACUGAGUUCUGGCCAAUGGAUUGUGGCAGGAGUGAUGUGUUCCAGAUUUUGCCUCAUGAAACUUCCUCAUGCUUGACUUGUGCUCUCUCUUUUCCUAUCUACCCGCUGAAUGGAGAUAACUUUGAGUACCUAGAGAAGGAUGGAGCUACAAGAUGGAAUGAGCCUGGGACCCUGAAUGGCCACGUGUAGCAGAGCCUCUCUGCUGACCUGGAACAUUAACCUCAGACUCUUUUGAAACAAGAUCUUGCCAUGUUGCCUAAGCUGGUCUUCAACUCCUGGCCUCAAGCUAUCCUUCUGCCUUGGCCUCCCAAAGCACUGGCAUUACAGGCAGGAGCCACCUCAUCCGUCCGUCCUCUUUUGUCACUUUAAGGCAGUGUAUUCCUGUCUUUUUCUUUUGGAUUUGCAGGAGUACUUUGUAUAUGCUAGCUAUUAAUCCUUUGUUAAAGGUAUUGUAAAUAACUUUUCUCUGUCAUCUAUUAACUUUGUUUAUGGUGUCUCUCAUUGAAUAGAAAUUCUUAUUUUUUAUGUAAUCAAAUCUAUUAAUCUUUUGUGUCUUAUGGCAUCUACUUCUGAGGUUUUGUUUAAGAAAUUGUUAUCUAAUUCUAGGCCACAAAGAUUUUUUCCUAUAUCAUCAUCUAUUAACUUCAUAAUUUUAGCUUUCAAAUUUAUUUUAUUCUCUGUAGUCUAGAUUUAUACAUGGUGCUAAGGAGGGUUCCAGCUUUAUUUUUCUUCAAAUAGUGAACUAGUCUUUCCAAUAACAUGUAUUAUACCGUCCAUCCUUUCUCCAUUGAUUUGUGCUGCCUAUUUUUUCUGUAUCUACUUAAGUCUGUCUCUAAACGUUUCCAUUUAUGUAUUUAUCUCUUCCAUAUUACUUUUGUUACUAUGAUACGGCAGGGAGAGCUGGUACUCACCAAAUGAUUUUUGUACUUACUUUCCUAGCUUGCCUUGCAGUUAGAUUGAGGUCAUAUGACUAUCUGGACUACACACUACAAGCAAAGUAAUGUUUAUUAUUUCUGGGUCAAGGUUAUUUAAAACUGGUGUAAAAGGCUGUGUGUUUAGAUGGAGGAACCACAAGAUGGAAGAAGCCUUAGGUUCCUGAGUAACUGCAUGGAAGACUGGAGAGCUGCCUAAUCAUUAAAUUUUACGUAAAUAGGAAAUAAACCUUUGUUUACUUCACUGAGGUUUUGAGGUUCAUUUGUUACUUCAGUAUAGCAUAUUGUUACCCUGACUGACACAUACAGUGUAUCUUACUAUCCAGUAGGGUAAGUCUCCACUCUAUCCUUUGUUUCCAAAUUGAUGUAGCUCUUGUUGGGUCUUUAUAUUUCCAUAUAGUGUUAGAAUGUAUCAAUUAAGCUUUGAUAGAUUUUUUAAAAUGUUAAGCCAGCUCUGCGUUACCAUUCUGAUCAUGACUUUUUAAAAUACAUUGCUGGAUUCUACUUGCUGGUAUUUUGUUUAAGAUUUUCACAUUUAUAUUUUGAGACUUGUUUGAAAUUUCAUUUUUUAUACUGAUCUUGUCAGUUUUAAUAUAAAAGAUAUUUGGCUCAUAAAAUGCAUUGAACAACAUUACUUAUUUCUAGGCUAUAGAAGAGCUUGUAU
ensembl:lncRNA novel transcript